rnacentral:rRNA from 1 species
UGGGGAAUUUUGGACAAUGGGGGCAACCCUGAUCCAGCCAUUCCGCGUGAGUGAAGAAGGCCUUCGGGUUGUAAAGCUCUUUCGGCAGGAACGAAACGGUGGAAGCUAAUAUCUUUUACUAAUGACGGUACCUGAAGAAGAAGCACCGGCUAACUACGUGCCAGCAGCCGCGGUAAUACGUAGGGUGCGAGCGUUAAUCGGAAUUACUGGGCGUAAAGCGUGCGCAGGCGGUUUUGUAAGACAGAUGUGAAAUCCCCGGGCUUAACCUGGGAACUGCGUUUGUGACUGCAAGACUAGAGUGCGGCAGAGGGGGGUGGAAUUCCACGUGUAGCAGUGAAAUGCGUAGAGAUGUGGAGGAACACCGAUGGCGAAGGCAGCCCCCUGGGUCGACACUGACGCUCAUGCACGAAAGCGUGGGGAGCAAACAGGAUUAGAUACCCUGGUAGUCCACGCCCUAAACGAUGCGAACUAGGUGUUGGGGAAGGAGACUUUCUUAGUACCGCAGCUAACGCGUGAAGUUCGCCGCCUGGGGAGUACGGUCGCAAGAUUA